rnacentral:misc_RNA from 1 species
UCUCCGUUGGUGAACCAGCGGAGGGAUCAUUACAGAGUUGCAAAGCUCCCAAACCAUUGUGAACGUUACCUAUCCCGUUGCUUCGGCGGGCGGCCCGGGCCCCGCGCCCGGCGCCCCCCGGCCCCCCGUGGGCGCCCGCCGGAGGUAAACCAAACCCUUGAAUUGCAUGGCCUCUCUGAGUCUUCUGUACUGAAUAAGUCAAAACUUUCAACAACAGAUCUCUUGGUUCUG